GACGAACGCUGGCGGCGUGCUUAACACAUGCAAGUCGAACGAUGAAGCUAGAGCUUGCUCUGGUGGAUUAGUGGCGAACGGGUGAGUAACACGUGAGUAACCUGCCCCGAACUCUGGGAUAACUGCUGGAAACGGUAGCUAAUACCGGAUAUGACCAAUGAAGGCAUCUUCUGUUGGUGGAAAGAAUUUCGGUUCGGGAUGGACUCGCGGCCUAUCAGCUUGUUGGUGAGGUAACGGCUCACCAAGGCGACGACGGGUAGCCGGCCUGAGAGGGUGAUCGGCCACACUGGGACUGAGACACGGCCCAGAGUCCUACGGGAGGCAGCAGGGGGGAAUAUUGCACAAUGGGCGCAAGCCUGAUGCAGCAACGCCGCGGGAGGGACGACGGCCUUCGGGUUGUAAACCUCUUUUAGUAGGGAAGAAGCGAAAGUGACGGUACCUGCAGAAAAAGCACCGGCUAACUACGUGCCAGCAGCCGCCGUAA
rnacentral:rRNA from 1 species